rnacentral:rRNA from 1 species
AUUGAACGCUGGCGGCAGGCCUAACACAUGCAAGUCGAGCGGAUGAAGGGAGCUUGCUCCUGGAUUCAGCGGCGGACGGGUGAGUAAUGCCUAGGAAUCUGCCUGGUAGUGGGGGAUAACGUCCGGAGACGGGCGCUAAUACCGCAUACGUCCUGAGGGAGAAAGUGGGGGAUCUUCGGACCUCACGCUAUCAGAUGAGCCUAGGUCGGAUUAGCUAGUUGGUGGGGUAAAGGCCUACCAAGGCGACGAUCCGUAACUGGUCUGAGAGGAUGAUCAGUCACACUGGAGCUGGGACACGGUCCAUACUCCUACGGGAGGCAGCAGUGGGGAAUAUUGGACAAUGGGCGAAAGCCUGAUCCAGCCAUGCCGCGUGUGUUAAGAAGGUCUUCGGAUUGUAAAGCACUUUAAGUUGGGAGGAAGGGCAGUAAGUUAAUACCUUGCUGUUUUGACGUUACCAACAGAAUAAGCACCGGCUAACUUCAUG